GGCGAACGGGUGAGUAACACAUCGGAACGUACCCAGUCGUGGGGGACAACGAGUCGAAAGAUUCGCUAAUACCGCAUACGACCUUUGGGGGAAAGCAGGGGAUCGCAAGACCUUGCGCGAUUGGAGCGGCCGAUGUCAGAUUAGCUAGUUGGUGGGGUAAAGGCCUACCAAGGCGACGAUCUGUAGCGGGUCUGAGAGGAUGAUCCGCCACACUGGGACUGAGACACGGCCCAGACUCCUACGGGAGGCAGCAGUGGGGAAUUUUGGACAAUGGGGGCAACCCUGAUCCAGCCAUUCCGCGUGGGUGAAGAAGGCCUUCGGGUUGUAAAGCCCUUUCGGCCGGAGCGAAACGGGUGGGGCUAAUAUCCCCAUCUAAUGACGGUACCGGCAGAAGAAGCACCGGCUAACUACGUGCCAGCAGCCGCGGUAAUACGUAGGGUGCGAGCGUUAAUCGGAAUUACUGGGCGUAAAGCGUGCGCAGGCGGCUAUAUAAGACAGAUGUGAAAUCCCCGGGCUUAACCUGGGAACUGCAUUUGUGACUGUAUGGCUAGAGUGCGUCAGA
rnacentral:rRNA from 1 species